rnacentral:rRNA from 1 species
UGGGGAAUAUUGGGCAAUGGGCGAAAGCCUGACCCAGCAACGCCGCGUGAAGGAAGAAGGCUUUCGGGUUGUAAACUUCUUUUACCAGGGACGAAGGACGUGACGGUACCUGGAGAAAAAGCCACGGCUAACUACGUGCCAGCAGCCGCGGUAAUACGUAGGGGGCAAGCGUUGUCCGGAAUGACUGGGCGUAAAGGGUGUGUAGGCGGGCUCGCAAGUUGGAUGUGUAAUACCCAGAGCUUAACUCGGGUGCUGCAUCUGAAACUACGAGUCUUGAGUGUCGGAGAGGUAAGUGGAAUUCCUAGUGUAGCGGUGGAAUGCGUAGAUAUUAGGAGGAACAUCAGUGGCGAAGGCGACUUACUGGACGAUAACUGACGCUGAGGCACGAAAGCGUGGGGAGCAAACAGGAUUAGAUACCCUGGUAGU